rnacentral:rRNA from 1 species
AGCGAACGCUGGCGGCAGGCCUAACACAUGCAAGUCGAACGGUGUCUUCGGACAUAGUGGCGCACGGGUGCGUAACACGUAUGCAACCUACCUUACAUUGGGGGAUAGCCUUUCGAAAGGGAGAUUAAUACCGCAUAAGACAGUAGCUGGGCAUCCAGCAGCUGUUAAAGAUUUAUCGAUGUAAGCUGGGCAUGCGUCCAAUUAGCUAGCUGGUGAGGUAACGGCUCAACAAGGCAAUGAUUGGUAGGGGAACUGAGAGGUCAAUCCCCCACACUGGCACUGAGAUACGGGCCAGACUCCUACGGGAGGCAGCAGUAGGGAAUAUUGGGCAAUGGACGCAAGUCUGACCCAGCCAUGCCGCGUGCAGGAUGAAGGCGUUAUGCGUUGUAAACUGCUUUUAUACAGGAAGAAACGACUCUUGCGAGAGGCAUUGACGGUACUGUAUGAAUAAGCACCGGCUAACUCCGUGCCAGCCGCCGCGGUAACAC